rnacentral:lncRNA from 1 species
UAUUGGGCAUAAUCCUGUUUUAUUGUGUUUACCAUUGUGUACGAAGAACAUGACAUUGCAAAGAGGAGCAUCCUGGAUGAUGGAGCUGGUCCUCGGCAGACUUUCUCUAAAACUAGAGAUAAUCCCUCCUGCACCAGAACUCCAGUGUGAUGAUCCAGUCAGUGUCUCCAGCUCCCAUGUGCUUACAGGAGACCAAACAUCUGUCUUAGGCAAUUCUAGCCUCCUGCCUAUCCAAAGGCUGCUCCAAUCUGGCUGUGGAGACGUGAGGGAGGAUGGAGGAGACAGUUGCAUGGAGUCCGCAUACAGAAUAGAAGACCUUGAUGGGGUCAGAAGCACAGCUCCUUGACCCUCUAGAACAACAGCAUCACUUAGGAGACAAAGGAAGCGGGGAAGACAGCGGCUCCAUCAGACCAUAUGGGUGUUACCAGUUCCACAAAUCAUUCUCCACCUUUGUCCUAGCCUACAAAGAAGCAUCACAAAUUAUCUACAGAGAUCUUCUGGAAGGUUCACUCUGGAUUAAAUCAGGCUCAUCUCUCAGCAGCUGGUCCCUCUCGCCUGAGAUCAAAAGGAUCUUGAACCUUCCAAGUGAACUGCUGUCAAGCGAACAGCAGGAGGACCUCAAAUAUUAUUUACAUAGAGUUUUCUUUCUCCAAUUAUGUAUUGGUUUCUUCUUGUUACAAGCCUAUUUUAUAAACAUGGAAACCAAGACACAAAAAAGAAAACAGUGUCGGGAUUAUGUAGGCAGCCAUUAGGCCAUUAGGCCAGAAAUGAAUAUAUCUUGAUACCACCUAUAUUUAUUCCAGCAUUUCCUUUCAAUUGCCUACAGAGAGAGAGAGAGAGAGAGAGAGAGAGAGAGAGAGAGAGAGAGAGAGAGAGAGAGAGAGAGAGAGAGAGAUGGAGGGAGGGAGGGAGAGAGAGCUUAGUUGUUUUGAGCAUGCAGGAGAACAUGCCAGCCUUGAUUUUCAACUUGGAAUUUCUCAGGCCUACAGGAAACUGAUCUGAGCCUUUGAGGCUUUGCUGAGCUCCUUUGCAAGUGUCCUCUAAAGUAGACUUCGUUGUAAAUGGAAGGAGACCAUUUGCAAAUGAAAGCAAGAGGAGCACACCAGAUUGCUAAAGCUGGCAGUGCCUAGUGGCUCUGAGAUGCCUUCCUUAUAUCAGAUAGCUGGGAGGAGGGUAACAAAAGCAGAAAUAUGAGCUUCCAAUCAUCCCCUCUGGCCAACGUCCUUGGAGAACUCUUGUUGAUGGCUGUGCCUAGAACCUGCAGUGUGGGAGUCAGUUUCCUAAUGACAGCUUUUCAACACCAGGCAGAGUUAGGGAUCAAGGGGGAAGUCUUGUUUCUCAGCUCUCACACCUGGUGCUACGGUGGCGUGGCAUCACAAAGACAGCUGUAGUGCGUGGGGAAAGGACAGUGCUCCGAGUCUCAUCAGUUUUAGACCUGGUCAUCAAAGAGGAAAGACAAGGGGGAGAAACUUCCCAAAAUCGGAGGGAGAUGGACCAAGAGUCAGGAAGGAGG